rnacentral:lncRNA from 1 species
CAACACUUAUACUGUUACAAGGUGCCAUGUAAGAUGUGGAAACAGAAAUAGGGCCCCAUGGAGAUCCACUUUCAACAAAACUUGAAAGAAAAAACAAGCUGCCAUGAAUAGCCAGAACCCAAGGAAUGAGGUCAUCCUUCCCCUGGAAAUUCCCUUCCACAUCUACUGGGCUUUUGUGUCCACCUGGAUGAGAAGGGCCACAGAGUAAGUACCAGUUUCCUCCCUCACUCUGAAAAAAAUCAGAGUGGAGGGAGGAUUUUACAUUGGGGUAACACCUUCCAAAUACUUAAACAUCAGUUCACUUCACCCAUUCCAGGCACUCACUGAUUUGGUUUGGGUAAGGAGCUACAAUAAAGGCAGAAUGAACUAGAAGUUCACUUCACUAAGCUAAAUGCCUCCUAUAAUGUUGACGAAACACAGCCCCCAAUCUAUACCCAAAAACUGUCGGAUGGACACUUUCCUCUCAGUGUCUUUAAGCUGAGAUAUCUUUGAGAGAAGAACAAGAACAUGAGGAGGUACUUUCUGUUGAGUAGGGGAACGGAAACGUGUUUGCCUGCUAUCAGUCCUUUUAGUCACAGUGAUCUGGCUCCUAUCCAAGAAGGCCUGAACUUGCUGAGAAGCCUGAUUCCUGUUCCCAGUGCUUAGCCAAAUGAAAGACGGGGCUGACAGAAACAGUGGAGCAUGAGGCAUGGGUUAGCUUGGGAACACCAGCUGGGAACUGGUUAUUCCAACAUGGCUAGAGAUUCUUCUAGCAACAACUGUCAAAGAACGUGGAGCUAUAGAAAUUUAGUUUUUUAAAAAUUUCUUUUUUAGAAAGGACCUUUCAACCACAAUGUUCUUAAAUGUCUUUCAAGAAGAGAGUUGCUUCAAAGUAACAUUUAUUUAUUGCAUAUUCUCUCUCUCUGUGUGUGUGUGUGUGUGUGUGUGUGUGUGUUUGUGUGUGUGUGUGUGUGUGUGUGUGUGUGUGUGUGUGUGUCUGUCUGUCUGUCUGUCUGUCUGUCUGUCUGUCUGAGCAUGUGCAUGUAUCACCUUCUACCAGGUGGAACCUGGGAGUUGAACUUGGGUCAUCAGGCUUGGCAGCAGGCAAUCUGAUCUGCUGAGCCAUUUCACUGGCUCUUCAGAAGCACUUGAAACAUAAAACUAAAGACUGGUAUCACAGAAAGGAUCCUUUUUUUGGUUGGCUCUUGAAUUGUUUUUUUGGGGGGAUAUUGGGUCCCUGCACAUGCCAAGAAAAUACUGAAGUUACCCUCCAGUCUUUUUUUUUCUAAAUAGGGUCUCAUUAAAUUACCCAGGAGGGCCUUGAAUUUGAAAUUCUCCUACCUCAGCCUUCACAGUAGCUGAUAUUACAAGUUUGUACCACCAGGCCAGGCUUGCUGUUACAUGCUCACAUUCUACAGAGCUCACAAAGUUCCAAGAUACUGUGACAAAGGUGGAGUGGGAGCACAAUCUCCACUUCCUGGCUUUAAAUAGAGUGUAAUUUCCAUUAGGGAUCGUAGAAAAUACAAUUCCAAAUACCAGGCUUGUGGGUGAAAUGGACUAUAGGGAAAGUAUACCUUACAAUAAGGAAAGCAUGUUAUCCACGUCCUAUCUUGCAUUCCUGUCUUGCAUUCCGGUCUGCCAGACUCUGGAGCUGGGGACUUUUUGCAUUCUGCCUCUCAGAAGCAUUAUUGUCACUCCUGUGAUCUCUUGGUCCCCUCCUGUUGUAUUUGAGGAGGAAGCUGUAGAGUGAAUAAACUGUGUAGCACAAAAGCAUUAACCACGUGACUGCAAAGAAAGGCUCCCUCAGUUCCGAGCCUGCCAGGGCAGUCAGGAGCUUCUGUGGAAUCAAUCACUCUCCGUUGGUGGAGGGCGUCAUAUCCCCAACCAGUUCCUGCCCGGGCUGCAGAAGACAAAACAAAACUGUUCACCAGUGAUGGGAAAGAGACAUUUGGUGUUCUUGUUGGCUUCCUGGAUAAUUGUAAAGUGUUAUUGGCAUUCAAAGGAAACCUUCCUCAGAGAUCUACAAAUAAGGGAGGGUGACAGAAGGUGAGCCAAAGAAAAGAUUAGAGACCCCAAGAGAAACCCAGAGCAAAACCAUUAACAGAAGAAAAGAAAGCAAUUUUAAUUUACAAAAGAAAUAAGACACCCACCCCAGGAACUUAGAAAAGUAGCACACGAUGAAAUUGGGUGAGAUAGGAGCUCUUUAACUCAUCAUGGCUGGUGUUCGAAAUUCAAAGACGUGCUACUGCAAACUAUUUCUCAAAUUAGAAACUGACAGAGUAGGAGGCAGACUUUUUUAAAUGUCCAUAUUAGACACUUAAAAUACAGACAAUCUUUGUAGGCAGAAUUGGGAAACAAGAAAAGAUUAGAGAUAAUAGAGUUAUUAGCUUUGAAUGGUCAAAAAUUUUCUAGCAUAUGGAGUUGAUCUUUAUUAAGUUGCCUAGGAACACUAUCAAUACAAUAUUCAGGCUGCCCUUUGUGAAUCUUCUUUUUCCUUCUAGACAUGGUCUUGCUCCGCGGCCUAGGCUGACUUUGAAUUCACGAUUGUCUCGUCUCAGUCUCCCAAGCACUUGAAUUACAUGCUUAUGCCACCAUGCCUGACAUUGUGAAUUUUUUAAAUUAAAAAUAUAUUGCAUUUUA